UAUUUAAUAUAUGUAAAUGGUACAUUCAAUAUAUUAUCCGAAAUUGUACACAUUGACUUUGAUAAAUAAUUUUAUUGUAGUUAAAUAGUAAAUUUAAGGCUUAAUACCUCUAUUGGUGCUCCUAUUUGUAUGUCAAUCUCAGUUUGGUCCUUAAGUUUUGAACUGUCUCUAUUAGGUCAUAAUUUUUGUAAAAAUGCACACAUUUUAUCCUAACCGUUAAGUUGUCUCAAACGGCGUUAAUUGAUACUGAGAUAAAUUUUUUAUUUUAGGCUUAAUUCUUCCCUUGAUCCUUAUAUUUGUGUGAAAAUCUCAGUUUGGUCCUCAAGUUUUUCCUUAAGUCCUUAUGAAAUGCAAACAUUUUAUAACAUUUUACCUCAACAAUUAAGUGUAUUGAGACGUAAUUAACUUUGAACUGAGCUGUAAUUUUUUUUUUAUGUUUUAAAAUCAUUAAAUCCAUAUGGCUAUGGUCUUUCUUUUUCAUUCCAAUCACUUAUCACACUUUUUCCUCAAGUCCUUAUGAAAUGCAAACAUUUUACAACAUUUUAUCCCAACCGUUAAGUGUAUUGAGACGGCGUUAACUUUGAACUGAGCUGUAAUUUUUUUUUUAUGUUUUAAAAUCAUUAAAUCCACAUGGCUAUGGUCUUUCUUUUUCCUUCCAAUCACUAAUCACAUUUCACUCAUUCCUCCACCCUCAAACCCUCAAACCUCCCGACUCACACCUUUUCUCCCUCUCAAACUAAAAAAUGUNGCCGUUGUCGACAGUUCAAAAAUUAUGACCCAAUUGAGACAGUUCAAAACUUGAGGACCGAACUGAGAUUUUCACACAAUAAGGACCAAGAGAGGGAUUAAGCCUAAAAUAAAAAAAUCAUCUCAGCAUCAAUUAACGCCGUUUGAGACAACUUAACAGUUAGGAUAAAAUGUGUGCAUUUUUACAAAAAUUAUGACUUAAUUGAGACAUUUCAAAACUUGAGGACCAAACUGAGAUUUGCACACAAAUAUGAGGACCAAUGGAGGUAUUAAGCCUAAAUUUAAAAAAUGU
rnacentral:lncRNA from 1 species